rnacentral:sRNA from 1 species
UAAAAGCGUUAGGGAUGGAAGCGACAUCCUUUUUACGUCAGUUCGAGUGCGAAGCAUAUCGAGAACAAGUAAAAAGAUAUAGUGUACAGCCCGACCCGAA